rnacentral:rRNA from 1 species
CGCUGGCGGCAUGCCUAAUACAUGCAAGUCGGACGCGUCUAGCGAUAGACGAGUGGCGCACGGGUGAGUAACGCGUGGGAACCUGCCCUGGAGUGGGGGAUAACCCGGCGAAAGCCGGGCUAAUACCGCAUACGACCUAAGGGUGAAAGAUUUAUCGCUCUAGGAGGGGCCCGCGUCGGAUUAGCUAGUUGGUGGGGUAACGGCCUACCAAGGCGAUGAUCCGUAGCUGGUCUGAGAGGAUGAUCAGCCACACUGGGACUGAGACACGGCCCAGACUCCUACGGGAGGCAGCAGUAGGGAAUAUUGGACAAUGGGGGCAACCCUGAUCCAGCAAUGCCGCGUGAGUGAUGAAGGCCUUCGGGUUGUAAAGCUCUUUCGGCGGGGACGAUGAUGACGGUACCCGCAGAAGAAGCCCCGGCUAACUUCGUGCCAGCAGCCGCGGUAAUACGAAGGGGGCGAGCGUUGUUCGGAAUUACUGGGCGUAAAGGGCGCGCAGGCGGCUCUUGAAGUCAGGUGUGAAAGCCCCGGGCUCAACCUGGGAAUGGCACUUGAUACUCUUGAGCUUGAGGAC